CCUGGCUCAGGAUGAACGCUAGCGGUAUGCUUAACACAUGCAAGUCGAACGAAAAAAUUUGAAAUAAUUAAAGAAAUUUAAAAAAAGUCUAUUUUUUAGUGGCGAACGGGUGAGUAAUGCGUGAGAAUUUGCCUUUAGGAGGAGGAUAACCAUUAGAAAUAAUAGCUAAUACUCCGUAAAGUCUUAUUAUUUAAGAUGAAAGAAUGAAUAUAUUCGCCUAAAGAGAAGCUCACGUCUGAUUAGCUAGUUGGUAAGGUAAAGGCCUACCAAGGCGACGAUCAGUAGCUGGUUUGAGAGGAUGAUCAGCCACAUUGGAACUGAGACACGGUCCAAACUCCUACGGGAGGCAGCAGUGGGGAAUUUUCUGCAAUGGGCGAAAGCCUGACAGAGCAAUACCGCGUGAGGGAACGAAGGCUUUCGAGUUGUAAACCUCUUUUUUCAAGGAUGAAGAUCUGACAGUACUUGAAGAAUAAGCAUCGGCUAACUCUGUGCCAGCAGCCGCGGUAAUACAGGGGAUGCAAGUGUUAUCCGGAAUUAUUGGGCGUAAAGCGUCUGUAGGUUGAUUUAUAAGUCUUUUGUUAAAUAUUUAAGCUUAACUUAAAAAAUGCAAAGGAAACUAUUUAUCUAGAGUUUGGUAGAG
rnacentral:rRNA from 1 species